rnacentral:rRNA from 1 species
GUGGUUAAGUUACUAAGGGCACACGGUGGAUGCCUUGGCGCUAGGAGCCGAAGAAGGACGCAGCGAACUGCGAUAAGCCUCGGGGAGCGGUAAGCACGCUUUGAUCCGGGGAUCUCCGAAUGGGGAAACCCACCAUCUGUAAUGGGAUGGUAUCCAUCACUGAAUACAUAGGUGAUGAGAAGGCAGACCCGGUGAACUGAAACAUCUAAGUAGCCGGAGGAAGAGAAAACAAUAGUGAUUCCGUCAGUAGUGGCGAGCGAACGCGGAAGAGCCUAAACCGUCGGGUUUACCCGGCGGGGUUGUGGGGCGUCUCACAUGGAGUUACAAAAGACGCGCGUAGGUGAACAGCUUGGGAAAGCUGACCAUAGAGCGUGAUAGUCGCGUACCCUAAACGCGCGUCUCUCCGAGACCAACCCCGAGUAGCGCGGGACACGUGAAAUCCCGUGUGAAUCUGGCAGGACCAUCUGCUAAGGCUAAAUACUACCUAGCGACCGAUAGUGAACCAGUACCGUGAGGGAAAGGUGAAAAGCACCCCGGGAGGGGAGUGAAAUAGUACCUGAAACCGUGUGCUUACAAAUAGUCGGAGCCCGUUAAAAGGGUGACGGCGUGCCUUUUGUAGAAUGAACCGGCGAGUUACGGUAGCGUGCGAGGUUAAGUUGAAGAGACGGAGCCGCAGCGAAAGCGAGUCUGAAUAGGGCGAUAGUACGCUGCCGUAGACCCGAAACCGUGUGAUCUAGCCAUGUCCAGGGUGAAGGUAGGGUAACACCUACUGGAGGCCCGAACCCACGCACGUUGAAAAGUGCGGGGAUGAGGUGUGGCUAGCGGUGAAAUUCCAAUCGAACUCGGAGAUAGCUGGUUCUCCCCGAAAUAGCUUUAGGGCUAGCCUCGGAAUUUAGAGUCUUGGAGGUAGAGCACUGAUUGGGCUAGGGGCCCUCAUCGGGUUACCGAACUCAGUCAAACUCCGAAUGCCAAUGACUUAUGUCCGGGAGUCAGACGGUGAGUGCUAAGAUCCAUCGUCAAAAGGGAAACAGCCCAGACCAUCAGCUAAGGUCCCCAAGUAUACGUUAAGUGGGAAACGAUGUGGAGUUGCCCAGACAACCAGGAUGUUGGCUUAGAAGCAGCCACCAUUUAAAGAGUGCGUAAUAGCUCACUGGUCGAGUGACUCUGCGCGGAAAAUGUAACGGGGCUAAACGUAUCACCGAAGCUAUGGCAGUCCUUACGGACUGGGUAGGGGAGCGUUCCAAGCAGCAGUGAAGCCGUACUGGAAAGAGCGGUGGAGCGCUUGGAAGUGAGAAUGCCGGUGUAAGUAGCGAAAAGACAAGUGAGAAUCUUGUCCACCGAAAGCCUAAGGUUUCCUGGGGAAGGCUCGUCCUCCCAGGGUUAGUCGGGACCUAAGCUGAGGCCGAAAGGCGUAGGCGAUGGACAACAGGUUGAUAUUCCUGUACCACCUCUGUUCCGCUUGAGCAAUGGCGUGACGCAGGAGGAUAGGGUGAGCGGCCUAUUGGAUGGCCGUCCAAGCAGUAAGUGUGGUGUGUAGGCAAAUCCGCACACCGUGAAGCAUGAGCUGUGAUGGCGAGGGAAAUGUAAGUACCGAAGUCCCUGAUUUCACACUGCCAAGAAAAGCGUCUAGCGAGGAACAAGGUGCCCGUACCGCAAACCGACACAGGUAGGCGAGGAGAGAAUCCUAAGGUGCGCGGGAUAACUCUUGCUAAGGAACUCGGCAAAAUGGCCCCGUAACUUCGGGAGAAGGGGCGCCUCGGUAGGGUUAAUAGCCCGAGGGGGCCGCAGUGAAAAGGCCCAAGCGACUGUUUAGCAAAAACACAGGUCUCUGCGAAGCCGCAAGGCGAAGUAUAGGGGCUGACGCCUGCCCGGUGCUGGAAGGUUAAGGGGAUGAGUUAGCGCAAGCGAAGCUUUGAACC